UUUCCCACAUCUGCCACUGUGGGCACAAGGAUUUCAAUGGCAGCAGUUUUUAAACUAUGUUCAUGGGGUAGGAAUAGUUUGAGGGUUCUUCUUGCUUUUAUUGUUCCUGAUGUGCCCAUUUAGGUGAUUCGUUUGAGGCCUUAGGGGCAAAGGUUUGUGCUCCUUUUUGCACCUGUUCCAGGACUUCACGGUGCUGCAGGACACUCAGCAUUUGUUUCCAGCCACUGCUUCUCUGCUCUGGCUCUUCGCUUAGCAUUGACUCACCUUUAAGGCCUCAGUAAGCUUUCUUCCUAAUAGCAUCAGGAUGAUAAACAGUUCAAGUGUCUUCUGGUUGAUAGGUGCUGAAUCUGACAAGGGCCUGCCUAGGAGCACCAUACAGACUGAUGGGGACUUGGUCCUUUUGGGGUAGAACAACGAGUAGAGACAGUAGGUCCUUCAGAUUCAUGGUACUUUCUGGUAUGAAGAGGUGGCAGUAUGAACUCAUCUGUAAAAUGGGAGGUCCUGUCCUGCCUCCGAGGGUUGUUAAAAGGAUUCAAUGAGCAUGUCUGUGGAAGUACCAGCACCUGUAUACAAGAGGUGCCCAAGUGCUGCUGCUAUGGUUGUUACUGUCACUAUUAUGAUUCUUGCUUGCUCCUGAGUCUCUCCGUCUUUUUUUUUUUUUUUUUUUUUUGAGACUGAGUCUCGCUCUGUCGCCAGGCUGUAGUGCAGUGGUACAAUCUCGGCUCACGGCAACCUCUGCCUCCAGGGUUCAAGUGAUUCUCAUGCCUCAGCCUCCCGAGUAGCUGGGACUACAGGUGCGCAACACAACACCCAGCUAAUUUUUUGUAUUUUUAGUAGAGAUGGGGUUUCACCAUGUUGGCCAGGAUGGUUUGAUGGUCUCUAUCUCUUGACCUCGUGAUCCACCCACCUCGGCCUCCCAAAGUGCUGGGAUUACAGGUGUGAGCCACUGGGCCCGGCCUCUCAGUCGUCUUUUGCUUCUGCUUCAAGCAACCAAUCCUCCAGGCCUAAUGCAGAAGUCACCCCCUUUCCCAAUUUGUAAAACUAUCAGUCCCAACUCCUUGUGCCUGGGAGAAGUUGUCUUCUUACCCAUCUACUUUAUGUUUCUCACAUUUUUUUUUUUUUUGGAGACAGAGUAUUGCUGUGUUGCCCAGGCUGGAGUGCAGUGGCACAAUCUUGGCUCACUGUAACCUUUGCCUCCCAGGUUCAAGUGACUCUCAUGCCUCAGCCUCCCAAGUAGCUGGGACUACAGGCGCGCACCACCACACCUGGCUAAUUUUUGUAUUUUCAGUAGAGACGGGGUUUCAUUAUGCUGGCCAGGCUGGUCUCGAACUCCUGACCUCAUGUGAUCCACCCAUCUUGGCCUCCCAAAGUGGCUCCUCACAUAUUUCAAUUCUGACUGGCAAGUGGGCUUUCUGAGUGCAUGUCACCGAAUGCCCUCAGCUGCUGCAGGUUGGAGCUGAGAUUCUCCGCAUGCUCCUGGGCCCCAGGCCUUCCCAUUGGCACUCCAAACCCUUUUCUCUGGGCUGCCUUCAUUCUUCCUGUGUCCCUUGUCUGCCCACAGAUUCUUUUGGUGGGCCUAAGGUGGGAGGAGACAUGUGAAGUGCCAGACCCUAUAACAUGACAUGGCAUAAAGAGCCUCUGGGGUGGUUGGCUGCCUGGGUUCAUAUCUUUACCACUCACUGGUUAUGGGCCCUUGGAAAAAUUACCUAAUCUCUGGGUGCCUCAACUUCUCCAUCCAACAAAUGGGGAUAAAUGUACCUAUCUCAUCGAGUUGCAAGGAUUUCUGAAUUAAUAAAUGUAGUGUGGUGAGAACCAUUGCUGGUAUGCCAUAUAUAAGCGGUAGCUAUUAAUAUUAUAACUGUGUGAGGUCAUUUAAUUAUCACACAUUUAUCAUCUGUAUCAAGUAGGUAUUAUUAUCAUUUUCAAUUUAAGAGAAGGCAAUAGAGUGCUAUAUUUAGACUGGAAAACUUUUUAAAAAUAUAUAACUAAAAUUGGAUUGCCUCUGAUUCCAAAAGUCAUGCAAAGCAGAGUGGCCUAACUUCACAGCUAUGGGACAAUAGCAUUCUAGGGCACAGAUUCACUAGGUCCCACUCAAUUCAUACCUGCAGUGAGUACACUGAGCACUGGGUCAAGUGCUGGAAACCAGAAUCCCUCUAGGCAAAAAGAUGGUCUUUUGGCCUUAGCCUCCUCUCUGUUUGGUUUGGUAUUCAUUCAGGAAUGGACCCACCUCCCCUUACUCUGCCAGUUUACGCCCCCAAGGAAAACAGGAAAGAUCUGACAGCAACCUGUCACUCUUGCUUUCCAGGUCAAAAGUCACGGAUCCAGCCUUCGCACUUGUUUUGACUCACUCAGAGCCUUAAACAUAUUUCAGUUAGUUACCAUCAGUUAAAAAUUGG
rnacentral:lncRNA from 10 species